rnacentral:rRNA from 1 species
GACGAACGCUGGCGGCGUGCCUAAUACAUGCAAGUAGAACGCUGAAGGAGGAGCUUGCUUCUCCGGAUGAGUUGCGAACGGGUGAGUAACGCGUAGGUAACCUGCCUGGUAGCGGGGGAUAACUAUUGGAAACGAUAGCUAAUACCGCAUAAGAGUAGAUGUCGCAUGACAUUUGCUUAAAAGGUGCAACUGCACCACUACCAGAUGGACCUGCGUUGUAUUAGCUAGUUGGUGAGGUAACGGCUCACCAAGGCAACGAUACAUAGCCGACCUGAGAGGGUGAUCGGCCACACUGGGACUGAGACACGGCCCAGCCUCCUACGGGAGGCAGCAGUAGGGAAUCUUCGGCAAUGGACGGAAGUCUGACCGAGCAACGCCGCGGGAGUGAAGAAGGUUUUCGGAUCGUAAAGCUCUGUUGUAAGAGAAGAACGAGUGUGAGAGUGGAAAGUUCACACUGUGACGGUAGCUUACCAGAAAGGGACGGCUAACUACGUG